AUCACCCAGGGAUCUUGUUAAAAUGCAGAUUCUGACUCACUGGGCCUAGGGUGAGACUUGAGAUUCUAUAUGUCUAACAAGCUCCCAGGUGGUGCCAA
rnacentral:pre_miRNA from 1 species